CAGAUGAACAGUUUGUGUUAGCAUUUUGAAUUUUAAACAUGUAAUAAGGAGCAAUCAGAUGAACAGUUCAUGUUUGCAAAGUAGCAGAGUCUGUUAGACAUGUCUUUCUUUUUUGACCUCUACAUCAAAACUCAUAUAUCAAAGUAGCAGUCUGUUGGACAUAUAUGCCCUUAUGGACUGACUUUCUGUACAAUAGGACUGUUGGAAUUUCAUGUGAUCGGUUUGCAAUCAGACGAACAGUUGAUGUUAGCAUUAUUAAGAUGUAAGCAGCAAAGUCAGUUUACAAGUAUUUGCUAAUAACCUAAGGCUGUUGGACAUGUCUUUUUUUUAUAUAGUUACAUAUGGGGAAUCCACACAGCAAGCCAACGGAGCAGACUGACAUCAUCACAUGUACCUCCAGGUAUAUGUCCAACUAUAAAUUGUGCUAUACAUGUCAAACACCAUCCCAGGAGACUGAAUGUGUUGUAGGCCCAAUGGAGGCGACAAAUGUUAACUACUAUAACCAAGGGAUUAUACCCGUAGCCAACAUGUUGACAAAAUUUACCCAAGUAGUCCAGCUAUAAGGCUGUGCAAAAUUACAGAGCUUAAUUUUAUGUGAUCAAUCAUACCUAACAGACUUGGGCACGACCGAGUCUAAUGGAUCAAGCAUGUGACUUGUAGGAGUCCAUAUUACUCCCUCGGAACGGGUGAUAGUUGAACAGACCGAUGGUGAUAGACUGAUAGCACAUAUGAUACUCCAGACCUGAUGGAUGGGACAAAUGUUGACGACUAUAACCCAGAGAUUAUACCCGUAGCUGAUGAAGUUGACAAGAUUUACCCAAGUAGUCCAGGAGUCCAUAUUAUUCCCUCGGAACGGAUCAUAGUUGAACAGACCGAUGGUGAUAACACAUAUGUUCAUCAACCUUCCCAUCUGAUUUCGGGUAGGUAUUCUUUUGCUGAAGGGUUAACACCAUGUGCCUACAACUUUGCCUUAUUUCGGACCAAUAUUUGUUAUGUUUACAUGACGCAGACAACCGUCCGAUCUAACUCCUAUAUAAUGGAGAUACGUUGCCGGCUCCUAGUAAUCUGACACAAAAUUAUGCGACAAAUGUACCACAAAGUUCAAAUGGUAUUACCUCAUACAUCUUGGAUCUGAUCUAAUUUGUGCUUAAGGUGGUUUAUUUUCAUACAUUAACCUAGCUUAUGGCUUUUAUGUUGUUCCAUUAGCUGUACAUGCUCCUGGUCGUGAUGCCUUGGAGGUUUUACCUGUGUCUGAUGCAACAUCCGAUCACAUGAAGACAGGAGCUGUCAUGAAAAAAAACUUAACAGGCGAAAAGAGGGAGCAGAAAAACGCCCGGAGGCGAGCUGCUUAUCGGAAGAAAAAAUGAUGGUACGGUCAAACUCCAAGAUGAAAAUCAACCUUCCUUUCCAAUGACAGGUAUUAUUAAUUAAUGUUUAGUAAAUACGAUAAAAAAAAUACCUCGUACUUUUCCUGCCUCAACUACUCUCACAUCUGGCAUCUUUAAAGACAUAAUAACUAGCUGGCAUGCAACGUAAUAACGAGGAAAAGAGGCAGGAGAAUGUUCCACGGCAUCCUCUCAGUGAUAUCACUGAUGCUAAUCGACCAUCCUCUAUGGACCUUGACAAAAAAAGAGAUGAUAAAGGCUCGGAGGCGAGCUGCUUAUCGAAAGAAAAAAGAGGAGGCUAACGUCAAGCGACAAGAUGAAAAUCUAUCUGCCCUUACGAUAUCAGGUAAGAAUGUUUUUAUGUGUCGGCACUGCGAUGAUAGUAUAUAUACUCCCUCCAUUCCAGAAUAUAAGGUUAAUAUCGUACGAAAAAUGAUGAUGGUACCAUGAAUGUACAAGCAGACGUGCAAAAAGUUCCCCUAUCCCCUCUCGGUGAUAUCACUAAUGGGUAUCAAGAAUGAAUGUAGGCUCUAAAGGGUCAAAGUAUGCAUGCUCCUGAGAAGGAGAAGUUCUUUAUUAUCUUGCAUGUACUUUCACCAGAACGAUUGUUUUGGUUAUACCUCACUGACCAAUGAUAAAAGAUGUUGAAUUGCAGUAUUGUAUUUUCCUUCUCCCUUUUAUUAGGUUAUAAUAUGUUCAUGGACAUAAUUUUGAAGAUUAUAAGAUGGUAUUUUUUUUCAUAAUUCCACAAUACUCAGCCCAUCUUAUUAUUGCAUAAGAUUGCAUUAUUUCAACGUUGUGGUCUACUAUAUCAAGUUUUGUUAUUGCCUUUCCAGCCAGAUACUUUGUUUUCCACUAUGAUCCAGAGUUUGCCACAAGCAGUGCGAGUGUCUAAUAUUCGGUUUCAUCCAUUCAGCUUGAUACACUAUUAGUAUAUAUACUCGUGUGUGUGUUCUGCUGCAGAUUGAUACAAUAAAGCAGCAUAAUUGAAUUCAGGCCUUUCUUGCUGUAACUUCACAUAUCCCGAUUUCUGAGAAUUCACUAACAUAAUGCCUUCUAUUACAGGAGCGUUGUAUUUUUUCUGUAGAAUAAUGCCAUCAACGCGAAUGCUAGGCCCAGUUUCACUCAUAAAGUGACACAAGUACACUUGCUUUCAAUCAAACAAGUACUCACAUGACUUGACAUCUAUAGUUAUGUCGAAUUGUUGAACCUAUUUGGUGAACUAUAUAAGUGGUCUUCUCCUUGGGAAUUUGAAUGCAGUUCUCUACCGGGCAUUAGGUUUACAUAUGCGGUAGUAGUUAUUAGAAAAGGCAUUCCUAUCUCCUGCUCAAGGCAAGUCCAUCCAUUGGGUUGGAAUAUAUUUCAGUUUUCUCUAAAAAAUAUAGUUAAUUUACAAGUUAUGUAAAUUUCAUUUCCUGGUGUAAGGUUCGGGCAUUGUGAAGUAUAUGGCAUUAACGAAAACAUUAUUGUGUUCAAUCAUGUAGGAAUUUAAAAGGAGAAGUUUCCAUACAAGAUUAUUAGCAGAGCAGGUUGUUAUUUGUAUUUCAUAAAAGAUUUAAUUCAAUCGAACAAGUACCCACAUGUCCUUGUGAUCAACCUGUUCAUGCAAUGAAGACAAUCAUUCAUGCUCGUAAUCUGGUAAAGGGUAGUGUAACAAUGGAUACAAUAGCAGUCUUAAUAUGCUGACCAGACAAUGAAAACCGAACCAUACCAUAGUAUAAGCGUCAUGCGAGAGGAUCAAUAAAACAUUACUGUUGAAAUGAGUAGAGAUG